rnacentral:rRNA from 1 species
CUUGGUCAUUUAGAGGAAGUAAAAGUCGUAACAAGGUUUCCGUAGGUGAACCUGCGGAAGGAUCAUUAAAGAAUCGCCCCGUUUUUUGAAAUGGGUUCUAUUCCCAAACCGUGUAUACAUACCUUUGUUGCUUUGGCAGGCCGCCUUUUAGGCGUCGGCUCCGGCUGACUGCGCCUGCCAGAGGACCCAAACUCGUUUGUUUAGUGAUGUCUGAGUACUAUAUAAUAGUUAAAACUUUCAACAACGGAUCUCUUGGUUCUGGCAUCGAUGAAGAACGCAGCGAAAUGCGAUAAGUAAUGUGAAUUGCAGAAUUCAGUGAAUCAUCGAAUCUUUGAACGCACAUUGCGCCCCUUGGUAUUCCGAGGGGCAUGCCUGUUCGAGCGUCAUUAUAACCACUCAAGCCUCGGCUUGGUCUUGGGGUUCGCGGUCUCGCGUCCCUUAAAAUCAGUGGCGGUGCCGUCUGGCUCUAAGCGUAGUAAUUCUCUCGCUAUAGGGUCCCGGUGGUUGCCUGCCAGAACCCCCCAUUUUUUACGGUUGACCUCGGAUCAGGUAGGGAUACCCGCUGAACUUAAGCAUAUCAUAAGCGGAAGAA